AGAACGAACGCUGGCGGCAUGCCUAAUACAUGCAAGUCGAACGAACUCUUCGGAGUUAGUGGCGCACGGGUGCGUAACGCGUGGGAAUCUGCCCCUUGGUUCGGAAUAACAGUUGGAAACGACUGCUAAUACCGGAUGAUGACGAAAGUCCAAAGAUUUAUCGCCAAGGGAUGAGCCCGCGUAGGAUUAGCUAGUUGGUGAGG
rnacentral:rRNA from 1 species